UUACUUUCAUGUCAAAAGAUGAUUCUCUUAGUGGGAGUUGUGCAACUGAUCCUAUGACCUGAGAUCACCAUGGUAUCUUGUGCACAUGAACCCAUAUUUUGGUUUACACUCAUUCAUGACAAUAAGUUAUGUACGAGGUCUUCUGGAUAUGGUGAAUUGUGUACGAAGAUUAUGAGUAGGUCAACAAGGAAUUAAUCACUUCCAGUAAGAGAAGAUAGCAUCCUAUUUAUUCUAAUCAUAUGAUAAUUCAGGAAGCCUUUGAUCAAAGCAGAAUGAAAAUUAGAAAGAGUUUCUAAUAUUUCAUUAUUUGAAUUAUCAUUAAAAGAUUGAGAAAAAUAUGAAUAUGAAAUUGAGUUUGACGUAUAUUCAUACUCAUAUACAUAUUUGGGAUGCAGUUUGAUUAAAGUAUUGAAUUGCAUGGUAACUUGCCACUGAAGGGUAUUUUUGGUAUUUCUACCAAAUUCCAUAUUUUUCGGGUAGACAUGACACGUUGCUAGACGUCAAUCUUGUUUUAUAGGUUUGAUCAAAUUAAAGAGUUUAAUUCGAUCACCAAUUAGAAAGUAUUCUAAUUGUUAAGUUCGGGUUCACGCAGUUUGGACUUAAAUCGAUUAGAAGAGUUCUAAUCAAGUUGGGUCAACUCGCACUCACACCUAUUGCUGGCUAAGUAUGAAACCCAAUGGGUCACACACAAGAAAACUUAUUAAGGGUCUAAUUGGAUUAGAUCAUGUUUGCAAGAUAAACAUCCUAGCAGGUGUUGCAAACCUUAGCUCCUAAUUCGAAUUGGAUUCGAAUCU
rnacentral:lncRNA from 1 species